CAUCUAUCUCCCUCAGUGUAUUUCCAUUUUAGAAUUUUAUUUAUUCCUCUGUCUUUUCACUUCGAGUUUAGAUCUUCUGAUUUGGUCUAAUGAGUCGCUACGAUUCUAAUCCGUUCGACGAAGAAGAGGUUAAUCCUUUCGCGGAUCAAGCAACAAAGGGGAAAGGAUCAGGGCAAUCAAAUUAUGGUGGAGGUUCCUUUUAUAUGACCAAUCCUGGAAGUGUUCCUCCUGCAACCUCAAGGCUUUCACCCCUUCCUCCUGAACCUUAUGAUCGGGGUGCAACGGUUGAUAUUCCCCUUGACAGUGGAAAGGAUUUGAAAUCAAAGGAGAGGGAGCUCCAAGUUAAAGAGGCUGAGCUUAAGAAGAGGGAACAGGAACUAAAACGGAGGGAAGAUGCGAUAGCACGGGCUGGAAUUGUAAUAGAAGAGAAGAAUUGGCCACCAUUUUUUCCCAUUAUCCAUCAUGACAUUUCAACUGAAAUACCAAUCCAUCUCCAAAGGAUGCAAUAUGUUGCAUUUACAACAUUGUUGGGUAAGUUUUAAUCCUAUUUCUGUAAUUUUGGCUCAGUAUUUUAAAUCUAUGGGUGCUGUUUGUAUGGGGAUUUUGCAUACUUUCUCAAUUAUCCCUGAGUUUGCAGUAACUGCUUUAAAUGGGUCGAUGAUUGUUAACAAAAAGAACCCAGAAGCAAUAAUGAAAAGUAGUUUAGUCUGUCUAAUGAUAGGUCUUGUAGCUUAAAUCGAGGACUGUUUUUUUUGUUAAUUGAGAAACGUUUAUACAUUGAGCCCAGAUGUGCAGUAACUUAAUUUUGUGUGAAAGUGCAGGAUUAUUUGUGUGCCUUUUGUGGAAUAUUGUGGCAGUUACCACUGCCUGGAUCAAAGGCGAAGGUUGGUUUAAAUUAAUUUAACGUAGUUAAUGCAUCCUUGUCUUGCACUAGCUUGUUCUAAAUUAUUCUCUUUUUUAGAUCUAGCAAUCUGGUUUUACACUUUUUUUUGCUAAACUUGUUCCCUCUCAGGCCCAACAAUUUGGUUUCUUGCUAUCAUCUACUUCAUAUCAGGGGUUCCUGGAGCCUAUGUUAUGUGGUAUCGUCCUUUAUAUCGUGCAAUGAGGACUGAUAGUGCUCUGAAAUUUGGGUGGUUUUUCCUGGCUUACCUGGUAUGCUCAUUCCUGUUUUUAUUAUGUCUUUUUCCACUUUGAAUACUUGCUGCAAAACCCUCAUGUACUCCCUUGUUUAGAUCCACAUUGGCUUUUGCAUCUUUGCUGCUGUUGCUCCUCCAGUUGUUUUCAAGGGGAAGUCUCUUGCGUAAGUGUUUAUAUUAUUUUAUUUUAUUUUUAAGGGUUUUGUUUGCUAAAUACCAACUAUUUAAUUGCUUUUAGGAAAGGGGAACAACGAUGAUAGUUUUAGACUAUCAUUUCUCAUUGGAUUGUAUUUCCUGGAUGUAUUGAAAUGUCAAUAGUUAUGGCUACUUCAGUUAGUGCUUAACCACAAUUUCUUCCUUUUUGUUGAUAUGGAGGAAAAUGUUACAUAAAUUAAUUGAAGUCUCCUCUAAAGCAUUAUUUUUCGGGAGCCAUUUUACAUGGGUAUUGGUGAUUUCUUUAUUCUUCUAAUAUUUGUUUUGAUCGUGUGGACAGAGGUAUUUUUCCUGCUAUAGAUCUUCUCGGCAAACAUGUUUUAGUUGGGAUAUUCUACGUAAUUGGAUUUGUAUGUUUCUGCAUCGAAUCCUUGCUCAGUAUCUGGGUUAUACAGCAAGUUUAUAUGUAUUUCCGAGGCAGUGGGAAGGCUGCAGAAAUGAAGCGGGAAGCUGCAACAAGGACAAUGAUGGCUGCACUUUGAUGGCACUUCUGUGUAAUAGAGAUAACUAUUAAUGGAUAGAGCCAAAACAAUACUUCACUCUUUUUUUUUUCCCUUCUAUACCUUCGUGGCUUGCUUUAGGAUGCAAAGCUUUUUGAUGUGGUGUCUACUUACAUUAUCAGGUGAAGAAUCUUAGACAAAUUAGAAAAGUUGAGUAGAGGUUUGUAGUGAGCUUGUGGCUGUGAUAGCUUCAAGGUUUGAUCUUGACAUGUUUCGUGAUGUACAAUUUCUAUGUUAUUAUGUUUAUUCUUUUACAUUUUCUGACCAAGUUCCAAGGGAGGCAUUAGCUGAGACUAAUCUAACGCAUGCUAAUGCUAUGCAUGGAGUCAUUGGCAUUUCUCACAUCUCAAUUUGUCAUCGGCGCAAUCAGGUGCAAUGCGAGUUGAAUCAUUCUUCGCAUGGUAAUACUGGUGGUUAUAAAUUGUAAUCAAAUAAG
rnacentral:misc_RNA from 1 species